rnacentral:rRNA from 1 species
UACGUAGGUGGCAAGCGUUGUCCGGAUUUAUUGGGGUUAAAGGGUGCGUAGGCGGCCCUAUAAGUCAGUGCUGAAAUAUCCCGGCUUAACCGGGAGGGUGGCAUUGAUACUGUAGGGCUUGAGUAAAGUUGAGGUUGGCGGAAUUGACGGUGUAGCGGUGAAAUGCUUAGAUAUCGUCAAGAACACCUAUUGCGAAGGCAGCUAACUAAGCUUUAACUGACGCUGAGGCACGAAAGUGUGGGGAUCAAACAGG